UUUGUACUCCCUCUGUCCCAAAAUUCUUGUCUUAAAUUUGUCUAAAUACGGAUGUAUCUAGUUACAUUUUAGUGUUAGAUAUAUUCGUAUCUAAACAAAUGUAAGACAAGAAUUUUGGGACGGAGGGAGUACUAC
rfam:Triticum aestivum genome assembly, contig: Triticum_aestivum_CS42_TGACv1_scaffold_499377_6BL